rnacentral:misc_RNA from 1 species
CAGAGUAAUUGGUUGAAAGACCGACUACCCGUCCUUGUGUCAUUUGAAUUUAUGCAUACUUCCCAGGAGGUGUUGCAGCAAUGCGACCGCCUGGGGUUUUUUUAUACAAACUCUUUGCAAGAAUCUGAAGUCUGAUAAAACAAACAUAAUGAAAAGCA